rnacentral:rRNA from 1 species
GGUCAAGCUACAAAGAGUUUAUGAAGGAUGACUUGGUUAGGUGAGGCGAUGAAGGACGGGGUAAGCACCGAUAUGCCUCGGGGAGCCGCAAACUGGCUUUGAUCCGGGGAAUUCCGAAUGGGGCAACCCAGCGCGGGUUAUACCGCGUUAUUUCGCGCUGAAUUCAAUAGGCGCAGAAAAGCGAUACCAGGAGAACUGAAACAUCUAAGUACCCUGAGGAAGAGAAAUCACAGAGAUUCCCUUAGUAGUGGCGAGCGAAGAGGGAACAGUCUAAACUUUAGCCUCCGCAAGGAGACUAAAGGGUUGCGGGACCUCAAUGUGGGAUUGUUUUGGAAUAGCAGAAGUGCCUGGAAAGGCAUGCCAAAGAGAGUGAAAGCCUCGUAAGCGAAAUUCCUAAAACACCCUAGAGGUAUCCCAAGUAACACGGGACACGGGAAAUCCUGUGUGAAUCCGGGCCGACCACGGUCUAAGACUAAAAACUACACCUAAACCGAUAGUGCACAAGUACCGUGAGGGAAAGUUGAAAAGAACGCUGGUGAAGCGAGUGAAAUAGAACCUAAAAUCAUAAACUUACAAGCUGUGGAAGGGCUAUGCAUGUCCGCAAGGGCAUGAAUGCCUGACCGCGUACCUUUUGUAUAAUGGUCCGACGAGUUACUUUGUGGUGCAAGCUUAAUCUUGCCAUGAAAGUGUCAAGAGCAGGCGUAGCGAAAGCGAGUCCUAACCGGGCGAUUUUAGUACCAUAUAGUAGACCCGAAGCUGAGUGAUCUAUCCAUGGUCAGCGCGAAGCUUCCCGAAAGGGAAGUGGAGGUGCGAACCCGUCAGUGUUGAAAAACUGUGGGAUGAACUGUGGAUCGGAGCGAAAGACUAAUCAAACUCAGAAAUUGCUGGUUCUCCCCGAAAUAUUUCUAGGGAUAGCCUCGGAUAAUUGAAUAGCAGGGGUAGAGUUACUGAAUGGGCUACGGGAGCAUACUAGCUUGCUGGGCCCAACCAAACUCCGAAUACUGCUAUUUUUAUUCCGGGAGUAAGACAAUGAGGGCUAAGCUUCAUUGUCAAAAGGGUAUCAGCCCAGACUGUCAGCUAAGGUCCCUAAGGAUAGGCUAAGUGGUAAAGGAUGUGGAUUCACUAAAACAACCAGGAUGUUGGCUCAGAGGCAGCCAUCAUUUAAAGAGUGCGUAACAGCUCACUGGUCGAGUGAUUCCGCGCCGAAGAUGAUCGGGGCUUAAGCCUAUUACCGAAGCUGCAGAUUUAAUUUGCCUUAGGGCAGAUUAAGUGGUAGGGGAGCAUUGUCUGGUCGGUUGAAGGCGUACCGUAAGGAGCGCUGGACACCAGACAAGGGAUUAUGUCGGAAUGAGUAGCGAAAAUGCCCGCGAGAAACGGGCACACCGAAAUUCUAAGGUUUCCUGGGGAAGGUUAAUCCUCCCAGGGUUAGUCGAUCCUAAGCUGAGGCCGUACGGCGUAGGCGAUGGAUAAUCUGUUAAUAUUCAGAUACUAGUUAUGUAGCGCUAUCAAUUCAUGUAUGACGCAGGAGGUUGGGGGUUGCGCAGUGUUGGAUGUCUGCGUUCUUCGCUUCGGAAGGAGCGGAGGGGACUUUGAGGGCAACCGAUGAGGAAGUAUUCUUAAGCCAUGCUGCCGAGAAAAUUACAUGAAUGAGCUGCGUAACUACUCGUACCGGAACCCGACACAGGUAGAACUCCAGAAUAUGGUAAGGUGAUCGAGAUAACUCACGUUAAGGAACUCUGCAAACUAGCCCCGUAAGUUAGCGACAAGGGGUGCCCUGGGGGUCGCAAGGCUCUUCAGGGUCACAGUAAAGUGGAUCGGGUGACUGUUUAGCAAAAACACAUCACUCUGCAAACUCGAAAGAGGAAGUAUAGGGUGUGACACCUGCCCGGUGCUGGAAGGUUAAGGGGAUUAGUCAACGGAUCGUAAGAUUUGUGAAGCUUUGAACCGAAGCCCCAGUAAACGGCGGCCGUAACUAUAACGGUCCUAAGGUAGCGAAAUUCCUUGUGGGGUAAGUUCCCACGCGCACGAAUGGUGUAACAACCUGAUCGCUGUCUCAACGUGAGACUCGGCGAAAUUGUAGUGGCGGUGAAGAUGCCGUCUACCCGCACCAAGACGAAAAGACCCCAGAACCUUUACUGCAACCUGCUAUUGGGUUUUGGAUCAAUAUGUGUAGCAUAGGUGGGAGACUUUGAGGCCCAGGCGCUAGCUUGGGCAGAGUCGCAAUCUGAAAUACCACCCUUAUUGCUCUAAGAUUCUAACCCCAUGCCGUGAAACCGGCUGAGGGACAGUGACAGGCGGGCAGUUUGACUGGGGCGGUUCCCUUCUAAAAAGUAACGAAGGGGCCCCAAGGUUGGCUCAGGGCGGUCGGCAAUCGCCCGUGGAGCGUAAGCGCAUAAGCCAGCUUAACUGCGAGUCCGACAGGACGAGCAGAUACGAAAGUAGGGGCUAGUGAUCCGGUGGUUGAACGUGGAAUUGCCAUCGCUCAACGGAUAAUAGGUACUCUGGGGAUAACAGGCUUAUUGGACUCGAGAGUUCACAUCGACAGUCCAGUUUGGCACCUCGAUGUCGGCUCAUCCUAUCCUGGGGCUGUAUAAGGUCCCAAGGGUCCGGCUGUUCGCCGGUUAAAAGGGUACGCGAGCUGGGUUCAGAACGUCGUGAGACAGUUCGGUCUCUAUCUGGUGUGGGCGUUAGGAUAUUUGAAGGGGAGUUCUCUUCAGUACGAGAGGACCUAGAGAAACAAACCAAUGGUGUUCCGGUUGUCCUGCCAAGGGCAAUGGCCGGGUAGCUAUGUUUGGAAGGGAUAAGCGCUGAAAGCAUCUAAGUGCCAAGCCCCCCCCAAGACUAAAUAUCCCUGGGUCGCAAGACCCUGUAGGUUGGUCGUAGACUACGACAUUGAUAGGCGUAAAGUGUAAGAUCCGUAAGGAUUUCAGCUAAUACGUACUAAUCAACCAAUCGGCUUGUCCUU